ACUCCUACGGGAGGCAGCAGUAGGGAAUCUUCCACAAUGGGCGAAAGCCUGAUGGAGCAACGCCGCGUGGGUGAAGAAGGUCUUCGGAUCGUAAAACCCUGUUGUUAGAGAAGAAAGUGCGUGAGAGUAACUGUUCACGUUUCGACGGUAUCUAACCAGAAAGCCACGGCUAACUACGUGCCAGCAGCCGCGGUAACACGUAGGUGGCAAGCGUUAUCCGGAUUUAUUGGGCGUAAAGGGAACGCAGGCGGUCUUUUAAGUCUGAUGUGAAAGCCUUCGGCUUAACCGGAGUAGUGCAUUGGAAACUGGGAGACUUGAGUGCAGAAGAGGAGAGUGGAACUCCAUGUGUAGCGGUGAAAUGCGUAGAUAUAUGGAAGAACACCAGUGGCGAAAGCGGCUCUCUGGUCUGUAACUGACGCUGAGGUUCGAAAGCGUGGGUAGCAAACAGGAUUAGAUACCCUGGUAGGAUAGCG
rnacentral:rRNA from 1 species